rnacentral:rRNA from 1 species
AGGGUUUGAUUAUGGCUCAGGACGAACGCUGGCGGCGUGCUUAACACAUGCAAGUCGAACGGAGAACUUUCUUCGGAAUGUUCUUAGUGGCGAACGGGUGAGUAACGCGUAGGCAACCUGCCCUCUGGUUGGGGACAACAUUCCGAAAGGGAUGCUAAUACCGAAUGAGAUCCUCUUUCCGCAUGGAGAGAGGAUGAAAGAUGGCCUCUACUUGUAAGCUAUCGCCAGAAGAUGGGCCUGCGUCUGAUUAGCUAGUAGGUGAGGUAACGGCUCACCUAGGCGAUGAUCAGUAGCCGGUCUGAGAGGAUGAACGGCCACAUUGGGACUGAGACACGGCCCAA